rnacentral:rRNA from 1 species
ACGGGUGAGUAACGCGGGCGCAACGUAGCUUUUGGUUCGGAACAUCACAGGGAGACUUGUGCUAAUAGCGGAUAACCCCUGACGGGGAGAGAUUUAUCGCCGAAAGAGCGGCGCGCGUCUGAGUAGCUAGUUGGUGAGGUGAUGGCUCACCAAGGCGACGAUCAGUAGCUGGUCUGAGAGGAUGAUCAGCCACAUUGGGACUGAGACACGGCCCAAACUCCUACGGGAGGCAGCAGUGGGGAAUAUUGGACAAUGGGGGCAACCCUGAUCCAGCCAUGCCGCGUGAGUGAUGAAGGCCCUAGGGUUGUAAAGCUCUUUUGUGCGGGAAGAUAAUGACGGUACCGCAAGAAUAAGCCCCGGCUAACUUCGUGCCAGCAGCCGCGGUAAUACGAAGGGGGCUAGCGUUGCUCGGAAUCACUGGGCGUAAAGGGUGCGUAGGCGGGUCUUUAAGUCAGGGGUGAAAUCCUGGAGCUCAACUCCAGAACUGCCUUUGAUACUGAAGAUCUUGAGUUCGGGAGAGGUGAGUGGAACUGCGAGUGUAGAGGUGAAAUUCGUAGA